rnacentral:rRNA from 1 species
UGGGGAAUUUUGGACAAUGGGGGCAACCCUGAUCCAGCAAUGCCGCGUGUGUGAAGAAGGCCUUCGGGUUGUAAAGCACUUUUGUCCGGAAAGAAAACGUCGUGGUUAAUACCCGUGGCGGCUGACGGUACCGGAAGAAUAAGCACCGGCUAACUACGUGCCAGCAGCCGCGGUAAUACGUAGGGUGCAAGCGUUAAUCGGAAUUACUGGGCGUAAAGCGUGCGCAGGCGGUCCGCUAAGACAGAUGUGAAAUCCCCGGGCUUAACCUGGGAACUGCAUUUGUGACUGGCGGGCUAGAGUAUGGCAGAGGGGGGUAGAAUUCCACGUGUAGCAGUGAAAUGCGUAGAGAUGUGGGGGAAUACCGAUGCGAAGGCAGCCCCUGGGCCAAUACUGACGCUCAUGCACGAAAGCGUGGGGAGCAAACAGGAUUAGAUACCCUGGUAGUCCACGCCCUAAACGAUGUCAACUAGUUGUCGGGUCUUCAUUGACUUGGUAACGUAGCUAACGCGUGAAG